UACGGGGGGGGCAAGCGUUGUUCGGAAUUACUGGGCGUAAAGGGCUCGUAGGCGGCCAACUAAGUCAGACGUGAAAUCCCUCGGCUUAACCGGGGGAACUGCAUCUGAUACUGGAUGGCUUGAGUUCGGGAGAGGGAUGCGGAAUUCCAGGUGUAGCGGUGAAAUGCGUAGAUAUCUGGAGGAACACCGGUGGCGAAGGCGGCAUCCUGGACCGACACUGACGCUGAGGAGCGAAAGCCAGGGGAGCAAACGGG
rnacentral:rRNA from 1 species